AUACGGUGAAUACGUUCCCGGACCUUGCACACACCGCCCGUCAAGCCAUGGAAGCCGGGUGUACCUAAAGUCGGUAACCGUAAGGAGCCGCCUAAGGUAAAACUGGUAACUGGGGCU
rnacentral:rRNA from 1 species